GAUGAAGAACGCAGCGAAAUGCGAUAAGUAAUGUGAAUUGCAGAAUUCAGUGAAUCAUCGAAUCUUUGAACGCACAUUGCGCCCCGUGGUAUUCCGCGGGGCAUGCCUGUUCGAGCGUCAUUACACCACUCAAGCCUCGCUUGGUAUUGGGCGACGCGGUACGCCGCGCGCCUCAAAUCUUCCGGCUGGUUCGAAUCGUCCCUCAGCGUUGUGGAAACUAUUCGCUAAAGGUGCGCGUUUCGGUCACGUCGUUAAACAAGCCAAUUUCAUUAAAGGUUGACCUCGGAUCAGGUAGGGAUACCCGCUGAACUUAAGCAUAUCAAUAAGCGGAGGA
rnacentral:misc_RNA from 1 species